rnacentral:misc_RNA from 1 species
AAAGUCGUAACAAGGUUUCCGUAGGUGAACCUGCGGAAGGAUCAUUACUGAGUUAAUAAGGUUUACGAGCCCUUUGGGGUGAGUACUCCUUUCUUCUCUUCACCCUUUGUUAUUAUUACUUAGUUGCUUUGGUAGAGUGCUUCGGCCUCUACCAAGGGACCAUUUUAAACACUUUGUUAUCCAAUAAUUGGUAGUCUUCAGUCUGAUUUUUAUAACUUAAUAAGUAAAUAAAACUUUCAACAACGGAUCUCUUGGUUCUG